rnacentral:rRNA from 2 species
UACGUAGGGGGCGAGCGUUGUCCGAAGUUACUGGGCGUAAAGCGCGCGUAGGCGGUUAAUUAAGUCUGUGGUGAAAGGUUCAGCGCUCAACGCGAACAUUGCCCUGGAUACUGGUUGACUUGAGUCUGGGAGGGGGUAGUGGAAUUCCUGGUGUAGCGGUGAAAUGCGUAGAUAUCAGGAGGAACACCGGUGGCGAAGGCGACUACCUGGCCUAAGACUGACGCUGAGGUGCGAAAGCGUGGGGAGCGAACGGG